UCCUCCAAGGCUAAAUACUCCUGACUGACCGAUAGUGAACCAGUACCGUGAGGGAAAGGCGAAAAGAACCCCGGCGAGGGGAGUGAAAAAGAACCUGAAACCGUGUACGUACAAGCAGUGGGAGCACCCUUUUGGGUGUGACUGCGUACCUUUUGUAUAAUGGGUCAGCGACUUAUAUUCUGUAGCAAGGUUAACCGAAUAGGGGAGCCGGAGGGAAACCGAGUCUUAAUUGGGCGUUAAGUUGCAGGGUAUAGACCCGAAACCCGGUGAUCUAGCCAUGGGCAGGUUGAAGGUUGGGUAACACUAACUGGAGGACCGAACCGACUAAUGUUGAAAAAUUAGCGGAUGACCUGUGGCU
rnacentral:rRNA from 1 species